UAGGUUUACGGUAAACAUUGACUUCAUCUACUUGAUUUCAUCGUAUUCACACAAAUGCUCUUAUGCCCUUUGUUUUAAAGGUUGUUUGUUUUUCCAAAUUGCAGACAUUGAUUUUGUUUAUUCCUUAUAUGCUUACAGGGGUGGUGAUGUUCUAUAAAGGUUCAGGUGUGGUAUAAAGGUUCAGGUGUGGUGAUGUACUAUAAAGGUUCAGGUGUGGGGAUGUAUUAUAAAGGUUCAGGUGUGGUGAGGUACUAUAAAGGUUCAGGUGUGGUAUAAAGGUUCAGGUGUGGUGGUGAUGUACUAUAAAGGUGUGGUGAUGUAUUAUAAAGGUUCAGGUGUGGUGAUGUAUUAUAAAGGUUCAGGUGUGGUGAUUACUAUAAAGCUGUGGUGAUGUUCUAUAAAGGUUCAGGUGUGGUGAUGUACUAUAAAGGUUCAGGUGUGGUGAUGUACUAUAAAGGUUCAGGUGUGGUGGUGAUGUAUUAUAAAGGUUCAGGUGUGGUGUGGUGAUGUACUAUAAAGGUGUGGUGAUGUUCUAUAAAGGUGUGGUGAUGUAUUAUAAAGGUGUGUGAUGUAUUAUAAAGGUUCAGGUGUGGUGAUGUCCUAUAAAGGUUCAGGUGUGGUGAUGUACUAUAAAGGUUCAGGUGUGGUGAUGUUCUAUAAAGGUUCAGGUGUGGUGGUGUACUAUAAAGGUUC
ensembl:lncRNA